UCAAAUUCAUCUCCAUAGCUUACAAAAAGAAUGAGCUUACCAAUAUUCUGACUUCGGUCUAUAGUACAUUUAAAAUAGUUAUUAAAAGAACAUUUAGAAUAGUUAUUUUUAAACUACCAAAAUAAAAAAAAUAGAUGUGGUGUGUGACGUGAUUUAUGACUAACAAAAUAUCAUGCAAAAUUCAGAAGUACUUUUGCAUGCUCAAGGCGGCAUGAAAUGUUCAGCAAACAACUUACGGAAAGAACAAGAACUUGCUAAAUUACAAUAGUACUAACAAAAUAUGCAUAUAAUGGAUAUGGAUCUGCCCUGAUUACAGACAUAAGUGCAGCACAUCUCUUCCCUUGCAAUCACUACAAACAAAUGACACAAAUUAGGAUUCAGCUAUGGUACUGUACAAGAUCACCUGUGAACAUAAAUCACGAAUAUAGUUUACCACCUGUGAACUUGCUCUUGCGCGGCCAAUAUAGUGUGUUACCCACGCGUACGCGCACAGGUAUGUGAAGCUCGCCAUCCGACCAGUCGCAAAUCAGCCGGCCGUGCUGUCACCGAUGACCGAGCUCUGCUUCGACACAGCCACCGACGCCCGAGCUCUCCACACAGAAGUAUUUUGAUUGGGAAAAAGGGCAGCAUGUCCAUGUUGUUUCCUAUAUAACAAAAAUUAGCAUGAUCAAUGGCAGAUUGAAUUAGCUAAACAGACAGCUCCCAUCUUUCCGAAUCAACAAAGAUUGCAUGGCGGGGAACGAAGUGCUCAUGGAACCAGACUAAAUUCGCACCAUUAGACAUGGAUGCUCACCUAGGCCUAUGGAAAGUAGCCUCUACCGGCGGCGGCAGGGACAAGUCAGGGCUAUUUCGUCCCGACGAGAUAAAGCACAACCGCGGCUAGAUCGUCAUCUGCGCAUCUAGAGUAGCUAUUUUGCUGAUAAGAGAGCCCCUGUGAUCUAGGGUUGGACGCAAGAAGACAUGAACCUCUGUCGCGAUAUCUUUUUCUCCGUCAUCAUUCACCAGAGCUUGGCUGAAAGACUACAGUGCAGCGAUGAGGACAGAGGAAGCUUCUUUUGUGUCCAUUGUAUCAUCAUCUUCAGUUUCUGAUUCAUCCUAUGACAAAGAGGGAUUUCAGUGCGAGCAAGGAAUUGAAGUGUAUGUAUAGACAAAAAAACUGAGCCAGGCUACAUAUUCUGAUGAUACAACAUCAAGUUACUUAAGCUCUUACACGGGCAGUGAAUGUCAAGGUGAACCUAAGGAAAUAUCAUAGUCAGCAAAAAUAAGAUGGAAGAAGACAAUCAAAUUAAAAUCAUGUAACUAAAUACACAGAAGAAUUUUCUUAUAAAUAAAUCAGGCAACAAAUAUUUUGUCCGAUAUUGAAAGAGCUUUGUUUGAUUGACUCUUCUAUAUUAUACGAUGCUCUAAGGCAACAGAUAAGUGAGAGCCAAAAGAGUAUUAUUAAAAUUGCAUGCAUGCCUUAUAUAUACCAAGGGUCAUUCUUGAGAAAAUUUGUGGCUCAUGCCUCAUGACAUUUAGAAGAAAAUUUUGGAUAAUAUGUAGGUGCUAGCACUUUGCAUAAGGUACAAACCUUACAGGUUCACUCAAGCAAAUACCACAAACCAUAUAACCGCACAACAACGGUUCACAGAAUUACAAAAAAAUUGAGAGAGAGAAGCAGCAACCGCGCUAGGAGAGAUGGGACAGCCGCAGGUUGGAGUUUAGAGAAGAACUUAAGCAACGGGGUUGAGAAGAGCUUCAGAAGAAGUGCAGCAGCAGCGCUAGGAGAGAUGGAACAGCCAUAGGCAGCAAGGAGCAGAGAGGAGAGGCAGCAGUUUGUCGUAUUAUUAGGCUGGGUCAGUAUGUUAAUAAAUUUGUCACAUAUACACAGUUUGUCGAACCAAUUCCAAUAAUAAUCAAUAGACGCCAAACAGUGGAAGUGUCUCGAGGGCCAAACUAUUCUGGAAACUAUCAUAGCAGAAAUCACCAAAUUUGUUUCAGAGGUAGAGGGUAGAACAAUUAGAAAGUCAACAAAGAGCUAGAUGAAUCUGAUUGGAGAACAAAAGACAACAGAAUAUCUUGUGCAUAAUUUACCAAUUAUAUGUCCAAUUCGUACUGUCCAGUUAAAGGUCGAAGCUAGAAUCAUAGAUCUUACAACUGUACUUCAGAAAAGAACCAUCCAAUGUCAGAGUUUUAUCAUUGCUAAAUCUCCUGAUCUCAUAUCAUACAGUGAUAAUCCUCCUAGAUUAGGAUUAUACCAAAUUAGUGAAUGGAUAAAAUAACUACAAUUUGGAGCUUCAAGUAAAUCAAACAGUUAACUUAAUUCUCUAGUCGACGACUAUGUUGGUACCUGAAGAAUCAUUCUGCCCGUGCCGUUAGUUCAUCACCUUGGUCCCUUGUUAUUGGCGCAUCCGGUCCCAAAACUCCAACC
rnacentral:lncRNA from 1 species